CAUUCAUCCAGGGAAGAAAAGUCAGAGAGAGAAAAUGCUAAAGAAAAGCUCCUCUAGGCCCCUGUGGGAGGCUGAAUUGUAGUAUGUUUGCUUCCAGCUCCUCACACCCAGUGUUUUGCCCUCUGGGUGCUGAGGAAGCACUGCUCCCCUUGAAGCUACUCCCAAUACAUUGCAGAACCAGGCUAUGCAGAGAGUAACCCACUUAUUACUGUUGUUUGAUCACUGGCACUCAAAAAAUGGAAAGGGGUGAGGAUAAUUAAAGACUGCAAGGUUCCAGAUACUUCAAUAAUAGAACCACUAGUCUGCUGCAACAUGGCGGUCCCUGUGUGUCCAGCGCUAUACAGGACGUGAAAUGAGAAAAUCCUUUUACAACCUAAAAAAACAGUGAGCAGAAAGGAGGCAAUGGAAACCCAGAGGAAGACAUAACCUGCUCUCAUAACAGGACUUCUGCUGAAAUCUGCCUUGGGGGUUGGAUGCCCAAUGGCCUCUAAAUUUCCAUGGCAGAUUUGAAAAUCUCAGCCCCAGGCACAAAACGUUUCAUUACGGCUUCAGCUCUCUCGGAGCACAACAGCAUCUGAUCAAGGGUUGGUGAGGGAAUGGAAACGGGAUCACCUUCGUAUCAGUGCUGGAAAACGAGGGGCUAGGCUGUGGGCCUGAGAAUCAUGGACA